rnacentral:tRNA from 1 species
GCGCCGUUAGCUCAGUUGGUUAGAGCAGCUGACUCUUAAUCAGCGGGUCCGGGGUUCGAGUCCUGACGGCGCA